AUUGAACGCUGGCGGCAUGCCUUACACAUGCAAGUCGAACGGUAACAGGUCUUCGGAUGCUGACGAGUGGCGAACGGGUGAGUAAUGUAUCGGAACGUGCCCAGUUGUGGGGGAUAACUACUCGAAGGAGUGGCUAAUACCGCAUACGACCCGAGGGUGAAAGCGGGGGAUCGCAAGACCUCGCGCAAUUGGAGCGGCCGAUAGCGGAUUGGGUAGUUGGUGGGGUAAAGGCGCACCAAGCCGACAAUCUGUAGCUGGUCUGAGAGGACGACCAGCCACACUGGUACUGAGACACGGCCCAUACUCCUACGGGAGGCAGCAGUGGGGAAUUUUGGACAAUGGGCGCAAGCCUGAUCCAGCCAUGCCGCGUGCGGGAAGAAGGCCUUCGGGUUGUAAACCGCUUUUGUCAGGGAAGAAAAGGCUCCUUCUAAUACAGGGGGCUCAUGACGGUACCUGAAGAAUAAGCACCGGCUAACUACGUGCCAGCCGCCGCCGUAAAAC
rnacentral:rRNA from 1 species